rnacentral:lncRNA from 1 species
AACAUGGAAGAAAUAGUCAUACAAUAGUCAUUGUAUGGUUGGGACAAAGUGACACUCACUAAUAACCCUGUUGGAGAGAUGGAGCUAGAUUGGAGUGCUGAUAGUCCAGGGAGGGAAAGCCAACAUAUCCAGAUGUCACCAAGUCCAUUCUUCCUGAAUCAAUUGGACAUAAUAGAAACUAGUGCAGAAGGCUUUAAAAUGAAUUUAAAAUAAAAAGUAUUUAAAAAAUCACAUA